rnacentral:ncRNA from 1 species
AUGGAUGUCUUUAGGCUUCUCUAGAAUCUUCUACACUCCACCAAUAAAGAUGUGUAGAUGACUCCACAUAAUUACAAACUUCCUACUCUCCUUUAAAAGCUAAGCAAUGGUUAUUUUGAGCAGGUUGUGAUAUUAUGCUUUGGAUACAUUAGAAAGGAAUAACAUCAUAGGAUUUCGGUCCUAUUAUGUUGACCUCGAAGAUCGAAGUAAUGAUUAUUAGAGAUAAUCAGGGGCAUUUGUAUUUAAUAGUCGAGAUGAAUUUUUAGAUUCAUGAAAGACAUAUAACUACGAAAUCAUUUUCCAAGGAUUUUUUCAUUAAUCAAAAACGAAAGUUGGGAGCUUAAAGACAAUUAGGUAUCAUCCAAGUCUCAACCAUAU